CAUAUACUUCCUCCACCCGAAAAUAUUUGUCAUCAAAAUGAAUAAAAGGUGAUGUAUCCAGAUGUAUAAUAGUUCUAGAUAUAUCCCUUUUUGUCCAUUUUGAUGACAAGUACUUUUGGACCGAGUGAGUAGUUC
rfam:Triticum aestivum genome assembly, contig: Triticum_aestivum_CS42_TGACv1_scaffold_406777_5BL